ensembl:lncRNA
GAGUGAACGAGCGAGGGAAGUAGUGACGGGCGUGGAAAAUCUGAGGAGUGUGGGCUUCCAAAGCUUAUCUCCUCAGGCAUCCAUCUUCAGACCUGAUCAUCAUCCGCCUCUCACCGCUGCACAGACGGGGGGACUCACCGCAAUCUGGGGCGUGACGACCUUGUGAUGUGUCAUCUCUAAAGGGGAAGAGGUUUCUACUUGAAAGAGAAAUAAAAGCAGGCAGCCUUUAUGUGGGACACUCACCCGAAGCACACAGGGCCCGGCCACUUCCCUCAGGCCUUCUCCAUCUGGACCCUUCGCCCACCACCCUGCCGGAGGGGAUGCCAAAGCAUCCUGCCGGAUGGAGCUCCUUGCUCCUACGGGACACACGGAUGCUCUGGCCAGCGGACAAACACCCCUCGAGGGAAUGUUUGGAACCUCACACUGGGCUAUGCUGAAGAUGCAUUUGUAUUUAUUCCCGGCUGCGCUGGGCCUCCGCGGCAGCCUGGAGCUUUCUCUGGCUGCAGUGAGCAGGCGCUCCCGGCUAACGGCCGCGUGCGGGCUUCUCAUCGCUGGUUUCUCUCCUCGCAGAGCGUGGGCUCCAGGCACGUGGCCUUCAGCAGGUGAAUUCUUUCCCACCGGGCCACCAGGGAAGCCCAGGCUACAUGACCCAUGCUUUUGCAUUGCCUUUUAAGCCUGAAAUUUUCCCCUGGUCAAACUAUCAAAGACUACAAGCCUAGGACGUGAGAGAAGGAACCCCCAAGGUGGAGGAAGUGGGCUUGGAGGACCAGAAAAGAAGGGAAAAACAAAACAGCCGCAGAGGCGGGGUGGCCGCUCCCCUUCCUGUCACCUGGAGGAAAUAAAGGCUAAUUAAGGAGAUGCCGGAGUUUCCACGCUUCUGAUUCCUUUAUUGCGUGUUGCUCAGUUGUGUCCGACUCCUUGUGACCCUGUGGACGGCAGCACGCCAGGCCUCCCUGUCCGUCACCGUCUCCCGGAGCCUCCAUCCUCCUCUUCACCUCCAGACCAAAGCCACGGCCGACUCAGGAAUCCUGGCCCCAGGGAACACGCCGCACAUGAGCCCGGCCACCCUGGGUCCCGGGGAGACCCCGCUGACCUGUGACCUCUGCCCACAGCGGGAAGGCAGGGCUCACGUGACUCAGCGCCUCCUAUUCUGAGCCCCAGGGAGCCCCACGCCGAGAGGCUGGCCCACAAUUUCUGUGGCCCCCAAGUUCCUGGAGUGGGAGGUCCAGGCAUUUACCGAGGAUGCCCCGCUGUCCCCAGGGUUCUGAUUUCUGCUCACUGACCACUGCAAGAACACAGCUCCUCGCGGGAAGGAGGGGGCUUUGUGGAAUUCGCCCCAGCUACAGUCUCUCAGCAGCAAGGACCUCCACUUACCCGAUUGAAUCUGGCCCACCCGCCUCGGCUCCGUGACCGAGGACGCGGCACCUCCUCCCCCGAGGGUCGCCUCUGUGGGCUGCGGGGGGUGUGGGUCGGGAGGGGCCCCGUGAAAUGGGCAGCCGCGCCUCGGGCGGUCUGCAGUGCCCGCAGCACCAGGCCCUUAGGGACGGUGCCCAGGAAGCUCCAUCCUCAACGCUCCCAAGUGCUGCUGGUAUCUGUGAACCCAGAUCCGCUGAACUAAACAACAAGCUUAUUUCCCCUUCAAAAUUUAAGCUUCAGAUUAGCCCAUGUGUCCUAUGCUUCUUCAUGUACAACAAUGGUCCCUGAUACUAGCAACUAAUCUG